rnacentral:sRNA from 1 species
UAUGAGAGAUUUCACCUGUAGAAUAUCUGUUUUGAACUGAGAUUUCACCCAUA